rnacentral:rRNA from 1 species
UACGUAGGGUGCAAGCGUUGUCCGGAAUUAUUGGGCGUAAAGAGCUUGUAGGCGGUUUGUCGCGUCUGCUGUGAAAUUUCGGGGCUCAACCCCGAACUUGCAGUGGGUACGGGCAGACUAGAGUGUGGUAGGGGAGACUGGAAUUCCUGGUGUAGCGGUGAAAUGCACAGAUAUCAGGAGGAACACCGAUGGCGAAGGCAGGUCUCUGGGCCAUAACUGACGCUGAGAAGCGAAAGCAUGGGGAGCGAACAGG